AUGAGUGGAAUCUUUACAACGAAACACUUUCUAUUCAGAUGUAUUUAUGUAAAAAAGUUUUUCUCUAUGCUUACAUAUAUAAAACGUGGAAAUCCAACUGGUACCAAAUGGUAUCUCAUGCUACCAGGUCUCAUGCUGUCACCUAGGCUGGAGUGCAGUGAUGUGAUCUCGACACCCUACUUCCCUGUCCUCCUGGGCUCAAGUGAUCCUACUACCACAGCCUCCAGAGUAGCUAGGCCUACAGGCACAUUCGGCCAUGCUCUGCUAAUUUCUUUAAAAAAUUGUAGAGACAGGCCUUGCUGUGUUGCCAAGGCUGUUCUGGAGCUCCAGGGCAGGCAAGCCUCCUACCUUGGCCUGUCAAGUGCUGGAAUACCCAGCGGGUCCCACCGCGCCAGGCACGGUCACACAUUUUUAAAUCCGGGGGGUGGUGCGUAUAGAAUUUUCUGGCUGUUUAGCUUUCACUGGACACAUUUAAAAGAGCAUGUAAUAUUUGUAAUGUCAACAUGCCAUAUGCUGAAACUAUUUCAAUGUAUGAUAAAAAUGUUAAAUACCAACUUAAAAAUAUGCUAGAUGGUGUGCAGUCACAGGACACUCUCUGAAGGAGUGAGAGCACAAAGGCAGCCUGCGUGAGGAGACAUUGAAAAAUGUCUCAGAUGGAAGCGCUCAUGUUACUAGGAAGUGCAUCAGUGAGAAACGCCAGGUCUCUGUUGAAACACACGUCCAAGAGCUCCUAAAACCCUGAAAUAUAACUGAAUGAGGAAGGACCAGCUAAGCACCAAGACAGAGAAAAUAACGGCACAGAGAAACGUCAUGGGGUUCAACCACAGAGAAGGUGAGGACCUCCGUACGCCGGAAAAACACGCCACUCAAAGGAAAACCAGAGUCAUGGUCUCCAAACUUUUCCUCACAAAUUCCUAAAAGUACACUGAAAAGCUGCAUACCGUUUACACAUCGCAAGGUGGUUGUUGACGUGUUUCACCCCAAGUUUAAAUACUUGAAAAGAAUGUAAUUUCUAGCAUAUCAGAAACAUUGACCUUUCACUAUACACACACACACAGAGUAUAUGAUGUUACAUACGGUAUGUGUUUUAUAUAUGCAUACACGGAGUUUAUGUUACUGCAAUGUGAUGUACGUGUAUGUAUAACAUGCUGUAUGACGUGUGUAUACGUAUAUAACAUAUAAUGAUAUUCAAUGCUUUAGAUGUCUUUGGAGUUAUGUGCCCCAAAUGAUGUAAUAAUCCAUCAUUACAAAUCAUUUCCAAUCUGACUACUUGAUUCAAUUUCAUUAAAAGUAAAAACUGGAAACAAUAUUCCUGUGUGUACAUGUAUGUGUACGUGUGUGUAUGCGUGUACUCUAAAUGUACACAGUAUAAUCUAAGUGUUCUAGUAGUGGAGAUACACUAUCAUUUACAGUCUCAGUACCAUUUAGCUCAUUGUAAGAUGUUUCUCCCAGUUCAUAGCUUAGGUUCAAACAAGUUUUCCAGGCCUACUUUCCUGCCAACCACUUCAUGCUUCCUGCAGCAGUCACAGGGCAGUGGUUUCUCACCUGGGGGUGAGGGCACAGUGGCUUUGGCGCCCAGGGGACAUUUGGCAAUGCACGGAGAGUUUUGGUUGUCAUAACUUGGGAGAUGUUACCAGCACUUAGUGGGGAGAGGCCAGGGACGCUGCUGCCAAACUGUCAGCCUCGGGGAAGGCGAGAAACCCGACCCUGUGAGUGAAACUAGUCAAGGAUUAAUGAAGUACUGAGAAAGCCUGUGGGGCAAUAGCAGCCCUCAGCAAAUGCCAGCUGCUCAUCGGGAUGGUCUGAAUGAUGCUGGCCUCUUAGGGGACGCAUCCCACUGUUGUUCCAAACUGCUUCGUGUUUAACACGAGGCACGUGACCCUCGCGUCAGCAUCAGCCUCCCUCCCCUCCCACAGUCCUUCCCCCGCGCAGACCACUCCCACGGUCCUCCCCGCGCGCAGACCACUCCCACGGUCCUCCCCGCGCGCAGACCACUCCCACGAUCCUUCACGCGCGCCGAUCACUCCCACGGUCCUUCACGCGCGCAGACCACUCCCACGGUCCUCCCCGCGCGCAGACCACUCCCACAAUCCUUCACGCGCGCCGAUCACUCCCACGGUCCUUCACGCGCGCCGAUCACUCCCACGGUCCUCCCCGCGCGCAGACCACUCCCACGAUCCUUCACGCGCGCCGAUCACUCCCACGGUCCUUCACGCGCACCGAUCACUCCCACGGUCCUCCCCGCGCGCAGACCACUCCCACGAUCCUUCACGCACGCAAAUCACUCCCACAGUCUUUCACGCGCGCC
rnacentral:lncRNA from 1 species